GACGUAGGGCGCGAGCGUUGUCCGGAUUUAUUGGGCGUAAAGAGCUCGUAGGCGGCUUGUCGCGUCGUCCGUGAAAACUCACAGCUCAACUGUGAGCUUGCGGUCGAUACGGGCAGGCUGGAGUUCGGUAGGGGAGACUGGAAUUCCUGGUGUAGCGGUGAAAUGCGCAGAUAUCAGGAGGAACACCGAUGGCGAAGGCAGGUCUCUGGGCCACUACUGACGCUGAGAAGCGAAAGCAUGGGGAGCGAACAGG
rnacentral:rRNA from 1 species